UGGGGAGUUCCUCGUUCUGUCCACGACAUUCCUCCACUCGGAGUUGAUCCCGAAUCUCCGGAACAUCCUCCACAGCAUCCGGUCACAUUCGUCCAGCAUCACGGUCAGGUUGCCCGGCGUGUCGACCACGAAGCUCAGCUUCGGGCGGCCGUUGUCGUCCCAGAACCUUAUAGGCAAGAUCCCCCACCUUACGUUCAGAGAAGUGCAAGAAAUCGGCAAGUACACAUCUCGUGCUUGAUCCAAGGAAUCGCAGGAGUCGUAAUGAGCUCUUAGCGUAGGGAUUGAAUACUCCUCAGGGCCUAAAAACCUCGGAACGCCGGCGUUACUCGCAGCCCUCAAAAGGCUUGAGAACUCUGUCUAUAUACAACCCAUAGAGAGUGACAGAAAAUUAGGUUUGGAGAGAGACAGAUUCUGAAAGUCUUAGCCAUGCACUUAGCCGAACCGAAAGUAAAAAUCAUGUCUUCGAUUGAACAUUGAGUAAAAGUCCAGGAUUGAACAUCGAGUAAAAGUUGACAUUGGUGAAAGGCGGUUUCCCGUAAAACGUAUACACAAACUUAGGAUAAUUACCAGGUAGAAAAGCUCGACACAGCGUCGGAAUAGGCGGAGAUUCAAGCGGACAUCAGCUAAGCUCCUGGCAAACGAUGUAUACAAUUAAAGCAAUUCAGUAGUUAAAAUCUAGUCUUUCCUUGCCUGGUGACUAAACCUUACGUUAAUUAUAGCCGAGGGCACUUAAAACUUCUAGUAAAUUAAAAGAGUUCGAGUUGAGAAAAAUUACAUAAAUUUGAGUAAAAGCAAAUUAUCGGAUGGACCAUUGAUGUACAAUUUAAAUCCCAAUAACAAAGAAAACUACCUGUGUAUUUGCUCUCCGAGACCAAGGUAUUCUGCAAGUGUUGCCAUCUGCAUAAGCAAAAAAAGCAUAAUACAUCUAAAUAAUGAGGCCCAAACUCCGAUUAUUAAUUAAUCAAGGAUAAAUUCUCCUGAACAUUUUGGUCAAGCAUGUAGAGAGUUUUAAUGACAUGCAACAACAUUGGGGAAAAUUAGCAAAAAAAUCAUAAUCCUAUUAGAAUUGUGUCAAUUCAGUCCUAAAUAUUUUGUAUUUAUAUUAAUUUAGCCAAUUCAACCAAUUUUGAUUGGAAAUCGUUCACAUUGAUAUCAAUCAUCCUAUGUGGCACCAUUGGAAUUGGCAUGGAUAAUUUUUAAUAACAUUUUAAUUUUUUUUAAAAUUAUUUAUUUAUUUUCUUUCUCUUUCUUUUUUUCUCUUUCCUUCCUUCUUGUUCUAGCAAGUUGUUGGACCUCAAGCCCUCACCAAGGGAUAGGCGAGGCUCACUCGAGGCUGGUGAGGUCGACCUUGCUGACCCUUCCCUUUGGCUAGUCGCUCGAAGAAGGCGGGGAAGGAAAAGAAAAAAAGAAAGAGAAAGAAAAGGAAAAAAGGUAAAAUAUAAGUAAUUAAAAAAAUAUUAAAAUAUUAUUUAAAAUUGUUUAUAUCAAUAAUUGUGUAUCGCGUUGGACAACCAAUAUCCAUGUCCGCAGUGUUUGCCCAAGAUUUAUUGGAUGGACUAAAUUGACACAAAUGUAAAAAGUUGAGAAUUUAUUUGGUAAAAAAAGGUUUAGGAUUGAAUUAGAUUUAGGACUUUUUAGUAAUUUUCCCAACGACAUUGUAGAGCUCCAUAAACUGCAUAUUUUUUUCCCUAGAAAACCACUAUGUCAUUGAAUUCAUGCUAAAUACUAGACUCGAACCUUUCCAUUCCUUGACUACGUGAGAGUUCAAAAUCAAAGUUUGAUGGCAUGUCUUUUCAUUAGAUAAAAUGUGUUGGUAUUUAGGUAUCAAGAUUAUGAUACAAAUAAUCUUUGAACUUUGACCAAAUAUAUAAUAUGGUACUUGAACUUUUAAUUUAUUCAAUGUGGUCUUUAAACUUUUGGUAUAUAUUCAAUGUAGUCCUUGAGUUAUAUGAAAAUGUUCAAUAUAAUCUAAGGACAAAAUUGAAUAUUUUCAUAUAGUCUAGGGACUACGUUGAUAUGUAUCAAAUUACACCAAAUAAAUUAAAAGUUCAGAAACUAUAUUGUAAGAUCACAUUGAAUAAAUUAAAAAUUUAGGAUCACAUUGCAUAUUGAGUAAAAAUUUAUGCACCAUGAAUGUCUAACAAAAGAAAUUCCAUGGAAAAGAUUAUAAACGCCAAUUAUAUACCUCUAGAUUGUCAACUUCCCCCCUAAACAUCUCACACAGCUCCCAGGUGUCGAUCACGUCCAAGGGUUCCGGCGGCGGCUGCCCGAUUUCGUGAAAUGCGUCCUCGACAAUUCUGCAAUCGAAGUUUUUGAUGUAGUGGCCAACCCAAAUUCUUCCUACAAAGAAGGAUUAAGGGAAGGGGAAUCAAAGAUGAAACUCAAUGCUGUAUGGAAGCAUGUUGCAGACUGUGAGGAUAUACCGUCGAGCAUGUCGUAGACGGUGUGAGCAAUGUCCGAGAAGUAGAUGUUGGAGGAAACGAUUUCAUCUAUGUUGAGCCCGUUGCUCCGUUCCUCGAAUUCUCCAAAUUCCUCGUCGUGUCGGGGCCGGACCAGAGAAGAGAAGUACUCUUUCUCGACCAGCGUUUGCGGGCACACGAUGAUGGCCCCGAAUUCUAUGAUGGCUUCCGUUUCUAUGAUCGUCUCUAAGUCGAAGAUCACGACUUCUGGCGGAGAAGAAUCCAUUCUUGUUUCCAAGAGAAAGCUUGCGCGCAGAGAGAGAGAGAGAGAGAGAGAGAGAGAGAGAGUACUUGAGUAAUUAGGGCUAGAGGAGUGCGGACUUUGUAGCGUGAACUGUGCGGGGAUCCCCCUGUAGUCCUUUUCCCUUUAGUAAAAGCAUGGUCUGCAGAAGAAAAAGAAGGGCCUAGUCCACUUUGGUCAUCUGUUCAUUAUAGGUCUUAGCGAGGAAGCCUUCCUCAGGAAGGUUGUGAGGGAGCAUUGGAGUAUUGCCACUCUUUCUUUUCAUGUGAUAGUGACAGAAAUUUACAAAAACGAAAGUGCUGGACCUGCAGCAGAAAACUCGAUAUUAUUGCCUUAGAGAUUAUCAAGAAAAUAUAAUUUUGAGCUCUAUGGAUUGAAGUAGCGUUGAGAUUGACAUAUAACAUGCGACACGAUAGGACACGGCACGGCACAUUGAGUUUUCGAUACGUUUGAACACAUUAUAUAUUAAAUAUAUAUUUCUGUACAUACACAAUAAAUUAUCAUUUUUAUAAUUAUUUCAAUUAAAUUAAUCUGCUUCAAUUCACAAAUAAAUAAAUAAUAAUAAAAGAGAUUAGAAUGAAUUAAUCCACCGUUUGUUAAUAGCAUUGAUUGUUUCAAUUUUACAAAUUCAAGUCUACUCCAAUAAUCUAUUAAAUUUGAAAGGAAAAAAAAACAAGCAAUCCACGUUUUGGACUCACGAAGAGAAAAGAACGAAGAAAAAAAGAAUUAGAGGUGAAUUGUGUAACAGGAAGUGAGUCAUUAGGUUUUCUUUUUUUUCCAUUUAUUAUUAUUAUUAUUAUUAUUAUUAUUAUUAUUAUUAUUAUUAUUAUUAUUAUUUUAUAUAUUUACAUUUUGACCUCUCAUUUAUUGAAAUUUUUUAAAAUUGACCGCGGAUCGAAAUCACAUGCCGGAAUUCCAAACUCGUGUGAUAGAAUUCCCGACUCAAGUGUCGGAAAAGUUGAUCAGGUAUCGAAUUUUCCAAUAUAUGUUGACCAAAUGUCGGAGAGCGUCAGACACGUGUUAGAGUGUCUAAAACGAUACGAAAGUUCUUGAAGAGUAUCGAUAUUUUCUAGUUAUGGACCCACAUUUACUAAAAAUUUAAGUUAAUGAAUUAUGGGCCGACUAUAAUUUUAUCAAAUCCAUAUUGCAUCACAUUCUGAAUAUACACCGGAUUUAAUCAGCCUUAAGAGAAAGAGACGUUCCAAAUAUGAUCAAACAUAGAUGAGCCUGGACUUAGGAGGAAAUGCGCUGGGACCUACCCAUUUGCGCUACGAGUUUGGUGGGUUUGGGUGGAACUUUAAUUUAAUUAGUUUCUUUUUAUCAAAAUGUUUUCUUUUAUCCAAAAAUUCACCCCAGUUUUUUACGUUGUUGCAAAAUACUGGAUUUUUAUGAAUACCAUUUCUCUUCCUCGAAUUGAAACAAAUUCGAAUUCUUAAUUCUCGACGUGGGAUAAGCAUCUUCUGCUUUUUCGCCUUUCUUCCCAUAAACGAUCGUCUUGCUUUUCUUGCGUGGCCGCCUCACCACAGGAACGAUUUCUGCAGUUUCGAGCGUUGCAUUCUUUUCGGCCUGCGGAGAUUGUGUUUUUACCUGAUUCAGAUGGACAUGGACGUACUUCUGUCUUUACCAUAGUCAUGAAUUUGAUAGCGUUUCCGAUGGUAGCCUUCCAUUUUCCUUAUCAUGUGUCAGUUCAUCAGUUAAUGUUGCUGAUAUUCCGACUACAAGAAACCAAGCUCAUGCUUUCCUUAGAGCUUGAUACACGUCGAGAUGCUUCUGGUCAUGGUGUAUUAGUGGCAGAACAGUGCAAAAUGCUAAGUUCGUCGAAAUCGAAACUUCUUCGAGAAGUGCGAUCAAAUUGGUUUUUCUUUCUUUGUUCUUUUUUGUGAAAAAACAAUAAUUUGAGGACAGUGAAGGAAGGACUGCGCUUGUGCUUCAUGCUCUCAUUGUGGAAUGGAACUGUGAUACCAAGUGAGUAUUUCCGUGUUUGAUCAGUAACCAAAGCUACAAUGCUUAUGCUGCUUCAGCAAAAGCCAAACUAACAAGACCCUUUAUAGUAACUUCUCUUUCCGUAUCGGGGGAUCGUUUUUCUUUAGUUUCUCCUGGGUAAGCUCAGGUCUUCGGCACGGCCCGUGCGCUCCCCCAGGCAUACAUUUCUGUAUGGAGACUCCCAGCAUUGUUGAGCAGGUUCUGUGGCAUUCCAUAUAAAUCAGAUAUGUCCGCGUGCUGGUGCCGACCGUUCUGGUAGUGCUGAUUCUGAAUUGCCACAGACACUUCAUCGUCGUCCAGCGGCAGUCGGUCGAACGUCACAUUCAUGAAUGAUGCGACCAUGAUCAUGACUGGGCCUGAGGCAAUCAGCCCGCCGACCACGCCCCCUCCAACCACCUGCCCCUGGGCCCCGCGAGGUAUAUUGUCAGGCCCAUUAUCCCAGGCGGGGCCGGUGGGGGCAGGAUCGAGCCAAGCAGCGAGAGGAUCUCAAACCGGCCGUGGAGGGUCACAGUAGCCCCAGAGGACGCCGACUGCCGGAUCGUCACAUUGGUCACGCAGCCCAUCCGCGCCUUGGCGGCGACGGCGAGGAUGGAAGGGCGAGCGCUUGGGUAGGGAGGGGGAGUAGCAACUCGAGGAGAAGGCGACACUGAAGGAGGGCGUUGGCAACUUGAUCCCUCUUUUGGGGCUACAAGUUAUAUCCUUUUUAGACCAUCAAUGCUUGCGGGAGCUUGGAGAGAAGGAAUCUCUUUUGCCCAAAUUUUCUUGGGGGCCGAUCGAUUAACACGAUGGCGCAUGGGAUCUAGUGGCGGAUCCGCAGUGCGGCGAUUCCACUUGGAUUUUCAGGCCGUCGUUUCCUUUCGAUUUUUGCCCGAGGAUAUCAUGCGAUCUGUUAGUGUCCACUGGGGCAAUCAAGAGAGGAGGGAUCGUGUUAAUAGCUGGGCGAGAGAAACGGACGAAUAAAUCUAUGCACUACAUUCCAUGGGAAGCCAUCGAAAGGAGAAAGAAAGCUGAUCCCUUUUCGUGUUUCAAAUGGGUUUAAAAAGUUCACGGGAUUUGAAGUACGAGAAUAUAGGGCGCGUUUGGUUCAGUAUUUUGAAACCUCAUUAAAAAAAUGUAAAACAAUUUAGCGUAAAGAACUUUAAGCAAAUGCAAAAGCUGUUUGCUAAAUUAUGCUUUGAGAAAUGUUGUUUAGAAAAAGUUUUUUAAGUGAUUAAUAUUAGUUUUUUUAAUUUUAUUUGUUUAAAAUUGAAAAAAAAAUGUAUGCAACUUUUUAAAUGUAAAUUUUGACAAUAAUACUAAAAAUAUCGAAUACAUCCAUAUAUAUUUAAAAAGACCAAAUCUUUCACCGGAAUUUUUUAAUUUUCAUUUGCUUAAAAUUGAAAAAAGAAAUGAUGUAUGCAACUUUUUAAAUAUAUUUUUCACAAUAAUGCUAAAAAAAAUCAAAUACAUAUAUAUAAUUUUUUUUAAAAAGACCAAAUUCUUCAUCAGAAUUUUUAAAUUUUUAAUUGUUUAAAAUUGAAAAAAAAAUAAUGUACGAAACUUUUUAAAUAUAAAUUUUGACAAUAAUACUAAAGAAAUCAAAUAUAUAUAUUUAUAUAAAAAAAGACCUAAUCCUUUGUCAAAAUUUUUUAAUUUUUAAUUUUUUUUAAAUUUGAAAAAUAGGUUAAUACCCUGAAAAACCCCAAACUGGUAUACUUGUGACAAAUUUACCUCAAACUAUUUUUUUGACCACCAAAAACCCAAAAUUGGUAUACGUUUGACAAAAUUACCCCAAACCGGUACACUUGUGAUAAAUUACCCUCUGUUAAUUUUUUUUUAAAUUUUAUUCUCAAAUUAUUUAGUUAAAUGACACGUGACAAUUGACCAAUUUACCAAUUUAGGAUUUUACGCUCCGUUUGUCAUAGUUUACAAUUUUUGUGAUUUUUUUGUGGUAUUAAUCCAAUUUAGCAUAGGGUAUAUUUGUCACAAAUUUACCAUUUUAGGGUUUUUUGCAGUCGAAUAAAUUAGUUUGAGGUAAAUUUGUCAUAAAUGUACCGGUUUAGGGUUUUUUUAUAGUCAAUCGGAGUAAAUUUGUCACAAGUAUACAAAUUUGGGGUUUUUCAUGGUAAAAAAAAUAGUUUGGGUUAAAUUUGUCAUAAGUGUACCAAUUUGGGGUUUUUCUGGGUAUUAACCAUUUUGAAAAAGUAAUGUAUGCGAAUUUUUAAAUAUAAAUUUGAAAAUAAUGCUAAGAAAUCAAAUACAUAUACAUAUGCAUACAUACAUACAUAUAUAUAUAUAUAUAUAUAUAUAUAUAAUUUUGUUUUCUAAAAAGACCAAACCUUUUGUUGGAAUUUUUUAAUUUUUAUUUUUCUAAAAUUAGAAAAAAUAAUGUAUGCAACUUUUUAAAUAUAGUCUUUUGACAAUAAUGCUAAAAAAAUCAAAUAUAUAAAUAUUUUUUUUAAAAAGACCAAAAUAUAUUUAAUUUUUUUAGCAUUUAUAUAUGAAAUAUAUAUAUAAUUUUUUUUUUCUAAAAAGACCAAACCUUUUGUUGGAAUUUUUUAAUUUUUAAUUUUCUAAAAUUAGAAAAAAUAAUGUAUGCAACUUUUUAAAUAUAGUCUUUUGACAAUAAUGCUAAAAAAAAUCAAAUAUAUAAAUAUAUUUUUUAAAAAGACCAAAAUAUAUUUAAUUUUGUUAGCAUAUAUAUAUAUAUAUAUAUAUCAUUUUUUAGCAUUAUUUUGGCAUUUAAAAAUAUAAUAACUAGGGCAAAAUCAGAAAUUUGAAGAAUGAAUGAGAAUAAUUUUGGAAGAAAAGAAUAACUUUCAGCAUUUGGCCAAAUGUUAAAAGCUCAAAGCUAAUCCUUACUAGCAUUGGGAUUUUAGCAUUUUCAAUGUUGACUUUCACUUGAAAGUUACUUUAAAAUGAUUGCCAAACAGUCUAGUAUUUCCUCAAGGGGCUUUGGAGGUUGAAAGCCCCUUGGGAAUGCCGAAGGAAACGCACCUGUAGAGAUGGGAUCGAAAAAGCGGCUUGAUGAGAGCCGGAAUAACCAAGAUUCGAUAGAGAAGGAAAUGUCAUUCUUUGAUCGUAACCAAACCUAAGAUGGACAAUGCGAGAGAACCAUCCCUCGGCCCACUUUAUUUCACUGUUGUCUUUUGUCAUAGGAAGUAUUUCCAUGAAAUUAUAACCAAAGUCAAGUGAUAGAGAAAAUGUCUCAAAAGGUGAAGAAUUCGCAGAGUCUUGAGCCCAAUAACCACGAUUCUAUAGAGAAGGAAAUCAUCUUUCUCCGUUGUAAACCUAAGGUGGAAAAUGGGAGAAAACCAUUUCAUUUCACUCUCACCUUUUGUCAUUAUAAGUAUUUCCAUGAAAUUAUGACUAAAGGCCAGUGAUAGAAAGGAAAUAUCUUAAAAGGUUAGUAAUUCGCAGAGUUUUGAAAUAUUAUCAAUAGCUUUACUCACAUGUAUACAAGAAUAGUCUUCCAAUACACACUUUGCACACUGAUACUUUUCAAUAUCUCUACAAAGAUAAAACAUAUCACGCAUAUCAUCUGUCUUUCACGUCGUCAGGAAUGAUCGACUGAUGUCAAGUGGCAAUUGACUAACAAUCUUUCUCCAAGCAUGCAACAAGAUAAGCAAUGUAGAUUUAGCUUCCGAAACUAGGGAUGAAUGAUCAACUUAUGAGCCACCAAUCUAAUGCCUGUGGAUCCCUUUUCUUGGGUCGGAUCGGCGGAUUGUGGAUAGUUGUACGUUUCCACAAUUAGGCAGGCAUCCAAUCUGAUGCCUGGUGUGAGGAGUGUAUGGAGCUCCCCCUCAUAGUCUUUGAAGACAAGCCUCCUUGUCUUCCCUGAAUCUUUCCUCUUGCAUACUAUCGUCUGCUCUUAUGUCGUAUUUGUGAUGCUACUCAAUAAUCACAAGAGAGAAAAAUGAAAUACAUGGUGUUAGUUAUAAUUCAUUGCCCUCGAAACAAUUUUUUUUUUUUUUUUUUUUGUGAUUUAAACUUUUGAAUGACACUUUUUUCAAGCAACACCAAAAUUGUGUCGAUUUUUAAAGCUUUCCACUCAAAUUGCAUGUGGUAUUAGAGCAUAUAGUCUUUUGUUUGGGUCUCAGCUCAUCGGUAUCUCUCUCAGUAAUCGUAAUCAAUCCUCAUGUUAUAAUUUGAGGAAAAAUUUCAGCUCGUGGAAGGGAGACUUUAUAUCUUAAACCGCAAGUUCAUCGUAUUGAUUUAUUAUUUUAAACUUUACGAUUUAUAUGAAUAAUCCUUUUGCUCCACUUUCUAAGAUUAGGGAGUUUGAAAAAAUAAUGAGUGAAAACCCAACCAAGGUGAUUUUACUAACGACAAUUGGAGCCGAAACUAACGUAAGUAGCAAUCUUCUUUUCUUCUUUUGCUGCUAUAGACAAAGCACAAAUGUAAUGGGAUGUAAUGAACACUUUUGGAAUGUCUUGGUCCGAAUUAUGCUUGGAGUGUACUUGAUUCUUACAACCUUAUCGAAAGUUGGAGCACUACACCAGUUGUCCAGAUUUAGUUGGAAAAGGAAGAUACCAAUCUAACGAAAACUAAGCCAGUACGACUCAUUAAAUAAUCUAAGCAAUCGUGUCUGUGAUCUAGUAAUGAAGAGUCUAGUUUGAAUACUUACCGCAACCUUACAGCGGGGGGAUUCCAUUUCCUAUCUACGACUUUUCUCCACUCGGAGUCGAUCCUGAAACUCGGAAACAACGCUUGCAACAUCCAGUCGAAUUCAUCUAGCUUCGUGCUCAGGUUGUCCGGCGAGUCGACCAUGAAGCUCAGCUUCGGGCUGUGGUCUUCACGCCAGAACUUUAUGUCAAUCCCGAACCUCACGUUCAGAGAAGCACAAGAGAUCGGCUCUCGUUCUUUGUUGAAGGAAUCAUAAGAUUCAUCUCUGAGAGUAGGAAUUGAAAAUUCCCUAGGGUCUGGAAACCUUGAAAAGCUGUCGUUGUUGUUCGUGUUGUCAUGUGCCCCCAGUAGGCUUGAGGACUCUGUCUGUAUGUAACCCAAAAGGAGUGAACAAAAAAUUAGGUUCGGAGAGUCCGCGCGUCAUGAAAAACACAAGAUCCGUACUCAAGUGAACUGAAAAAUAUAAAAUCACAUCUUCGAUUAAACAUUGAGAAAAAGUUUAAACAGUUGCAAUUGUGAUUACCAACGAAAAAACUGUGGCACAGUGCACGAACAGCCGGAGAUUCAACCGGACAUCAUCUAAGGCCCUGGCAAUCAAUAGACAAAGUUAACCUCAGGAGGGAAUUGCUCUUUCGUGUUCUGAACCACAAGGUAAAUCUCUUUCUUCUCGGUUCAAAAUGCAUGCAACUCGUGAUCAUGUAAAACCGCGACUCCCAAGUGCAAAAACUGCUUCGCUAAUCAUCGAAGUUCAUUUUUACUUUGAUGCCUAUUCAUCACCUUCUUUAAUUCACUGCAUACUUUGAUUCCGCUUUCGUCUAUACCCAAAUGAAAAUUGAUGUUUUCACGAAGAUAGCCUUUGCUCCAAUAACUUUCUUGAUAUAAUCUAGGGGAAAUUCCUUGCAUGGUUACUCAACCUUUAUAUGAUUAUAGCUGAGAUCACUUUAAAGUUCUAGUAAACUCAUAAAAAAAGAAGAAGAAGAUAUUUCAAGUAAGAAGGUACAUAAAAUUAAAGUAAAAGCAAAUUAUUGGAUGGACUAUUGAUGUAAACUGUAGAUCCCCAAAACGAAGGAAACUACCUAUGUGUUUGCUCCCCGAGAUCAAAGUACUCUGCCACCGUUUCAUCUGCACAAAGGAAAAAGACAUACAUGAUUCCGAUGUUAAAUAUUAAGAAUAAGAGUUGAGUUCCCUAAAAAUUUUGGUCAAAGUGUAUAUGGAGGUUUAAGGACAUGCAAGGGCUUGAUAAAUUUGCAUUUAACAUCGUAAAGCUACCAUAAACUCAUGGUCCCCGAAAAAAACCCUACCACAAUCAAAUUUUGAUGGUAUGUAUUUCAUCAAGUAAAAUGUGCAUGUCUAUUAAAGUGUAACGAAAGAAAUCACGUGGAAAGGAGUUCAUUUCUAUGAGCAUUAAGGACCUUGAUAUUGCUCAAUGAGAGGCUUGGCUUUUUGUUCAAACUAAGCUCAACACACAUGGUGAUCAAAUGUACAAGUAGUGGAUACUUGCAUUACAUAAAAUAUAAGAUCCACCCUUCAUCAAAUUAGCUCAAAAUCUCGCCAUAGACAUGCUCAUGAAAAGGGCAGUCCAUUUGAUGACUUUCGCUCUUCGCAUAUUUCAUCACCAAGAUUGAACGGCAAAGUUCAGGAGAAUUUUUCAUAUACCUUCAGGUUGACAGGUCCCCUUAUAAACCUCUGUCACAAAUCCAAUGUGUCGAAUACGUCCAAGGGUUUCGGUGGCACCUGCCCGAUUUUGUGGAACGCCUGCUCAACUAUUACACGAUCAUGCUCUAUGAUGUUGUGGCCUACCCAAAUCCUUCCUCCAAAGGAGGAUUAAGGGGAUCAAGGUGAAACUUAAUGUUGUCUAAAACCAUGUUGUAGUAGACUGUGAGUAUAUAUACCGUUAAGCAUGUCGUAGACGGUGCGAGCGAUGUCUGAGAAGGAGAUGUUGGCGAGAAUAAUAGCUUCUCUGGUGAGUCGACUCUUUCGUUUUUGGAAUCCCCCAAACUCGUCGUGUUGGGGCCGAACUAGAGAAGAGAAGUACUCUUUCUCGACCAGCAUUUGCGGGCCGAGAAGAAUGGGCUUCGUUCCUGUUGGGAAUAAAGGAUCCUCGAAAACCGGAUUCUACACUAAAUCGAACCCCUAAAUCAAUGCGGAAGACGAAGCCCGGGAAAACACGUAUCACCGAUCGUAAAGCACACCACGGAUUCGAGCGUACCUUGUUAGCCACAGAUUAGACACCGAUGCUGAUAAGAGGAAGAAAAUCUAGCCCCAUUCGAUCCGAUGAAGCCUUGAAGGGAAGACAGUGUCGCCGUUUGCUUACUGUUCGUUUUUGUUGGAGAGAGAGUGAGGGAGAGAAGGUACGUACGUUUUGCCAAAACUUUUUCUUCUCUCUCUCUCUCCUCCCUUUUAUACCUUCCCCCAUCCACGGGCCCUAUUCCCGUGGGCCGGGCUUUUUGGGCCCAGCAUGGGCGGACGGGCCUUAAGCCCAUCUCAUAAAUCCAUCAUCUCCCACUCGCACAUGGUGGGCCGAACAGAAUUCUCUUUAUCUCUCUUCAACAUUCAUACUAGUGAAUAAUCUGUGCGACCAGCAUACUUUGAGAGCUCGUUGCUAUACAUCUGUUAGGAAUAUAUAACAGCUCAUAAUGGGUGUCACACUUCGAGUAGAUUUAGUAUGCAGUACCCUAGAUCGAUCGAUCACAUUUAUAUCUCUCUUGAUCUCUUUUAAACAAUGAUAUAUUUAUUGUAUUCACAAUUAUGAUUAUCACAAAGACAAUCAUAAUUGGUUAACCGGUGAAUACAAAACUACAAUGUGAUUCUCCAAAGUCGAUCUUCCUCUUCCCUUCAAACUCUCAAUUUCAGUUCAGCUUGCUUUUCUAGAAAUGCCCCAUUAGAUCGAAUCAACUCAUGACCAUUGGCAACACCCUAAGAUAGCAAACACUAAAUAGAAAUCUUGAGAAUAAGUAAGAGUCAUGAGGGGACAAAAAAAUUGAGGAACUCUUUUCCUCAAGAGUCUCACACGACAUAAAAAGUUGAGAUCAAACUUUUGUCACUCUUAUUGGUCGUCUCAUGCAUACGUAGUAUGAAAUACGUAUUACGGUAUUAACUCCUUUCCCAUGGAGCGUAUGUCUACAUCUUUCAAUACCGUACAGAUGAUAGUUCAGACAUACCCAAUGUCUAACUUGAGUUCACGUAUUUACUCAUUUACAAAAAUCAUCAGAACUCACAUCUGGCAUCUUAGACAGAUAAAGUAAAAUAUGUGGGGUAUUUUACUUUCGGAUAUCGUAAGUAUUAUGUCAUCAUCUUAACACUUAGUUAAAGCGACAUACGUGUUUUAAGCUUGAGCUCUCGAUUAUCACCUAGAUAAUAAGCUUAAAAACAAUCUCAUCUCUAUUUAUCACACAGUAAAUAGAGGCGAUUACCCGUGUGAGUGGGCUAAUCUUAUAUCUGUCUGACAUACUUCUCUUAACUUAAAGUAAUGCACUGAGCAUUAAGAUGCAUAAAUAUCAAACAAAGAUUCAUAGGCAUUAAUGAUGAAAACACAAAUUCAUCAAAUUGUGAACACUUAGGGAAAUUAAAAUAUUCAGUAUAUCAGCCUCUACGCAAUCCUAGAGAUUUCAUAUAGCCACAAAACACAUCUCUAGGUAUUGGCUUUGUCAUAGGAUCUGCUACCAUUCUAUGCGUAGUAUGUACUAUAAGUUCACAUCUUUUCGUGCAACCAUAUCUUUGACGAAAUUAUACUUGGUAUCUAUAUGUUUGGUCUUGCCAUGAUAUUUUGGAUCUUUGGUGUACACUUUUGCUGUUUGGCUAUCACAGUUAACCAACAAUGAAUCUGCAGCACUUCCAAUAACACCUAAAUGAUCCAAAAAAUCUCUUAAGCCAAACACCUUCUUAUACUGCUGCUGAUAAUGCCACGAACUCAACUUACAUCGUGAACAAGGCUAUACACUUUUGUUUCUUACUGCUCCAACAUAUGGUGCCAUUAUUCGGUAAGAAAACAAACUCAGAGGUAGAUUUUCUUUCAUCUAAAUCUCCUCCCCAAUCAGUAUCACAAUAGCCUUUGAGUUGCAGAACCUUUCCUUAAUAACUCAACGUAUAAUCAGCAGUCCCCUUUAGAUACCUUAGUAUUCUCUUAACGGCUUUCCAAUGUGCUUGACCUGGAUUGGAUUGGUAUCUGCUCACCAUUCCAACUGCAUAACAUAUGUCAGGUCUUGUACACAUCAUAGCGUACAUCAAGCUCCCAACAGCACUAGCAUGAGGAACAUAUUUCGUUUGUUCCUUCUCUUGUGGAGUCCUUGGACACAGUCUAUGGCUCAAUCCUUCACUUUUUGCAAUAGGAGUGUCUUUGGGUUUACUAUCCCAUAUCCUUCAAUUCAAAGUUGGAAGACAACCGACUUUUGACAGUAUUGACAAGCUCCAUAUUGCUUCCGGCAAUUGGCAUAUCAUCAACAUAUAAUGAUAUGAUCACAAAUUGAUCCUUGGAUCCUUUGAUAUAUAUAUACAAUGAUCCUCAUCUAUCAUUGUAAAAUCAUAUGCCAUUAUGGCAUUAUGAAAUCAUAUAUACCAUUGUCUUGACGACUGCUUAAGGCCAUAUAUCGACUUCAAAAGUCGACAUACUUUUUCUUCUUGGCCUUUCACUAUGAAACCAGCAGGUUGUUCCAUAUAUGUUCCUUCCUCUAAUUCUCCAUUGAGGAAAGCAGUCUUUACAUCCAUUUGAUGUAACCCAAGAUCCAUACUAGCCACUAUUGCCAGAACUAUGCGAAUCGAGGUAAAUCCUACUACGGGAGAAAAUGUAUCUUCAUAAUCAAUUUCUUCCUGUUGAUUAUACCCCUUCGCCACAAGACGAACCUUAUGCCUUUCUAUCGAGCCAUCAGCCUUUCGCUUUAUUUUGAAAACCCACUUGUUCCUAAUAGCUUUGUGUCCUUUUAGAAGAUCAACCAGUUCCCAGACUUAGUUUGAUUUCAUUGACUCAAUUUCCUCUUUCAUUGCAUGAAUCCAUUUUUCCUUAUUAGGGCAAUUCAGAGCCUCAUUAAUAUUUCUUGGCUCAUACUCAUCUUGUGGAGCAACCAUAAAAGUUUCCCUUUCAAUGUCAAAACAUCGACGGGGAAUACUUUGGCGACUUGUUCACCAUAUGGGAGAUUGUACACUUAGCACAUCAUUCCCCAUUAUGCUCCCACUUGGAUUAGGUAAUGAUGAUGUCGUCACAUCAGGUGGUUGCAAUUAAGAAUGAAUUGAAUUCAAUUCAUCACAUCUCAUAUUACUCCCACUUGGACGAACUCAACCAAUAUCAUUAUCUAGAUCCAAGGUUUCAAAUAGGAAGUAAUCUUUCCCUAUUUCGCCCUUCUUAAGAAAUUCAUCCACUAAGAAUGUGACAUCCUGUGAUUCAAAUUCAGUUAUUCUCCCACUUUCCUGCUCAUCUACGAACACAUACCCUUUUGAGUGUUCGGAGUAUCUCAUUAAAAUACUCUUAUUUCCUUUAGGACUCAAUUUCCCAAACUUGUGAGAGAACUCAUGAGUAUAGACAGCAUAACCCCAUGGCUUAAGUAAACUUAAGUCCGGUUUUCUACCUAUCCAUAACUCAUAUGGAGUGGAACUAACUGAUUUGGAAGGCACCCGGUUAAGUAUUUAGGCAGCAGUUAACAACGCAUCACUCCAAAAAGUGAUAUGUAAGUUAGCAUACGCCAUCAUGGACCUAACCAUUUCUAGUAGGGUUCCGUUUCUUCUCUCUGCAACACCAUUUUGUUGAGGAGUAUAUGGAACGGACAACUAUCUUUCUAUUCCUUUUUCAUCACAUAAUUUUCUGAACUUAUCAGAUAAAUAUUCUCAACAUCGAUCGGAUCUAAAUACCUUUAUUUUCUUGUCUAAUUGAUUUUCUGUUAGGUUCAUAAACCUUCUGAAACAACUUAUGCUUCAGAUUCAUGAGAAAUCAAAUAGACACAUCCGAAUCGAGUAUAAUCAUCUAUUAAAAGUGAUGAAGUAAACAGUCCCAUGCAUUUCUCUCACAUUCAUUGAACCACAGACAUCAGAAUGGACUAAAUGCAGAGGAAAUUAAGCUCUUUUACCUUUUCCAAAUGGUUUCCUUGUCGUUUUCCCUUCUAGGCAAUGCUUACAUAUGGACAAAUCGACUUUUUCAAUAUUGCCCAACAAGCCCUCUUUGGCUAGUCUAUUCAUAUGUUGUUGGCUAAUAUGACCAAGUCUAGCAUGCCACACAUUCACAUCAUCAUCACAUGAAGUAAAAGACGUGAAACAAGGGAAUAACAUAUUGACAUUACCACAGUCAACAUUCAGUACAAUAAAACCAUCUAGAAAGUGACCACAACCAUAGUAGUUUGUAUCUAAACACAAAUCUACACCUCUAUUAUGGAAGUUCAUAUAAAAAACAAGUUUAACCAACACCAAAACAGACGUUAAAUUUCGACGAAUCUCUAGAGCAUAUGGAACGUCAUGUAGGAAUAAGAUGCGUCCACCACGCAUGUUCAAUUGGCAGGUGCCAAUCCCUUUAACUUCAUUUCUGGAGUUAUAUCCCACAUAGAUCCACUUAGUUCCAGUCGGUAUCGUCGGAAUUCCACGAAGGAUUCUCUAUACUUCGCUACAUGGUCUGUCUUUCCUGAAUCUACAGUCCACAAAGGAUUGGAUUCAGCCAAUAAUUCAGAACUUGACACAUAAUCAAAGUUCUCAAACGUACAAGAGGUGUUUACCUUCUUUGGCUCACAACAGUCGCGAGCAUAGUGACCCUUGUUGUCACAAUUGUAACAUUUCACCCUAGACAUUUUCUUCACUUGAGGACGUUUUCCUCUAUUGUGUUGGUUAACUUUUGAUCUCUUGCAAUAAGGAUUUGAUCCUUUGCAUUCCCACAUAUUGAACGAAUCAAUACGUUUGCGCUUAGAGCUCAAGGCCCUUUCUGAGCUAGGACCAGCAUCGCCAAUGUCUAUUUUCGGCUCAAAUGCUGAUAGGCAGUCCUCUACUAGCUCAAGGUGGCGCACAACAUCCUCUAGAUCUUCCAUAAUAUGGUCAAGAGCUUCUAGUGCUUAUAGCUUUUCCAGCACAUAUUGAAUCUUCAUAUUCAAUAUUCCACAAUCGUUGCCGUUCACAUCAGCAAUUACGUUCUUAGUUGCUGAAUCCAUCAAUAUGAACAUAUCAUACAUAUGUGCACGAAUAAUUAAUGCCUAUCAUUUAUGCAUCCCUAUUUACAUAGACCCAUCAUAUUAAUGAAUAAUUUUAAGUAAGGCUUCAGAAUCAAAAGGUCAUUACGUUUCCAAUCAUCCUCCAAAAAUCCUAACUUAAAACUAUCAUUAAUAUGAUUGUCAUAUGUAAAAUCAAUUCUAUGAAGUUACAAAAACUUCUAUAACUACCCACAGCUAACUACCCACAGCAAUCGGUAGUAAUAGAAAGCAAAUAUUAUCUAACAUCCAAUAGAAUAACAGUGCUUUCACAUAAUACAACUAUACAUUACACUAAGCAAUAUAUACAGAGAAAAAUAUCAACAUGGAAAGAGAUAUUUACAUCCAUAAAAAAUCUCACAAUUAAUCUAAGAAAUAAUUAUGGAAUGUCCCUUCUAAUCUAUCAGUCAAAACAUCUGAGAAAACUGAAGGCACAUUUGCCAACCAUGGAAAAACUUUUGGAGAGCAUUCAUGUCGCCACCAAGGCGCAUUCACUCUGCGCCACGUAGCGCACAAUCUAAGGGUUGAAGUUUUGGCCAACUCAAUCCUAUAGUACUCUCUUACAAAAGCUUCCACCAACCUCCUAUAACCCGGGACCAUGUUGACCUCCCAUAGCCGAUCUAACACUGCUUGCCAUUCAGGUGGAAGAGUGUUUAACAAAGCCGGCACAUUCUCAAAAUCCGGCAUAAGAUAACCAUUAUUGAUGAUUUCCUGUAUCAUCUGAUUGACCUUGACCACAUGUGAUACUAAAUCACCGUUACGCCACCGAUAAUUAGCUAACUCUGUCAUCAGCCUUUUAAGUCUUGCAUUUCCCUCGUCCGUUCUCGGGAUUGCAGGUAUCCGUGCAUAACGCAUCAUAGUUCCUGUAACAAAUGCAGAACUAAAAAAUGGAUCACUUAUAAUCCAUAAUUAACAUAAGGGAAAACACAUAAUUUUCCAAAAUUCAUGCAACAAAUGCAGGAUAAAUAAUGGAUUACAUAUAAACCACAUAGGCAUAUAUGAAAAAGAAACAAAUUCCUUUUUUUUUUUUUUUUUUUUUUUUUUCGGGUCAACGGUCAAAGGUCAAAGUCAACGGUCAGUCAACGGUUACCGAUUGGUCAACGGUCGCCGGUCGCCGGACGGACCGGUCGGGCCGGUUCGGGCGAACCGUCCGCACGUGCUGCGCACGUGCCGGGCGUCGCGGUUCGGGUCGGGUCGUCGUCGGGUCGGGUCGCCGGCAAGUGACCGCUUGGCGAAACGUCGUCGGCGAUGACGUCAUCGGUGACGUCAUCACAUGACGUCAGCACGCGUCGGUCCGCGGACCGGCGCUUGCGGUUUCGCCGAUCGCCGGCGCGAACGUGCCGGUUCGUCACCGGCGCGUGUGGCGCACGCGCUGGCCAUUGCCAGACGAGUCCCGCAACAUGUUGUGCGUCGCCAGACGAACAUCGCUCGGGUGUCGGGAUUUUCGGCCUGAUCCGUACGGCCGAAGGUUUUCGCGAAAAAAUCAAUGAAAAAACGUCAAACAGGUCGGGAAAAACGUGAACUAGGGCUCUGAUACCAAUGUUGGGAAUAAAGGAUCCCCGAAAACCGGAUUCGACACUAAAUCGAACCCCUAAAUCAAUGCGGAAGACGAAGCCCGGGAAAACACGUAUCACCGAUCGUAAAGCAUACCACGGAUUCGAGCGUACCUUGUUAGCCACAGAUUAGACACUGAUGCUGAUAAGAGGAAGAAAAUCUAGCCCCGUUCGAUCCGAUGAAGCCUUGAAGGGAAGACAGUGUCGCCGUUUGCUUACUGUUCGUUUUUGUUGGAGAGAGAGCGAGGGAGAGAACGUACGUACGUUUUGCCAAAACUUUUUCUUCUCUCUCUCUCUCCUCCCUUUUAUACCUUCCCCCAUCCACGGGCCCUAUUCCCGUGGGCCGGGCUUUUUGGGCCCAGCAUGAGCGGACGGGCCUUAAGCCCAUCUCAUAAAUCCAUCAGUUCCUCCAAUUGUUUCUCGGAGGAUUAAGGGGAUCAAGGUGAAACUUAAUGUUGUCUAAAACCAUGUUGUAGUAGACUGUGAGUAUAUAUACCGUUAAGAGUAAUUGGGGAUGGAGUGUGUGGAUUAUAUGGCGCCAUUACUUAAGCAUUUCAAAUGUAGGAUAGGCGUCGUGUGGCCCCUUCACUUUAAAAAAGCAGCGGCUCCAAAAGGAAAAGAGGAGGGCGUAAUCCCACUUUGGUCACUGUUUCAAAAGUCGAGUCUUAGCGAGGAAGACAGGGACAGUGCAUUGAAGAAUACUUAAGCAGAAAGAAAUUUUAAGCAAUUACAUUGUAAACAAGGAGUCGUGCUGGCAUCACAGAGCAUUGUAUUUCUUUUAUCACACUUUACUAUACAAGAAGUGGAGUAAUAGAGGGGAAACAUCUCCACAGGCAAAUCUAUAGAGCUGCGACAGCAUACGCCUGUCGAUUCUUCUUUCUCGUUGUCGUCUGGGAUGUCCGACUGUUGGUAUGAAACUAGGGAUGGACGAUCAGUUUAUGAGCUACUAAUCUAAUGCCGGCCAAUCCUUGAUAGUCAUAGGUUUCCAAGAAGAAUUCAGCAUCCAGCCUGGUGCUUAGAGUGACGAGCGUCCCAAGCUUGCUUUCGUCAAAGACGAGCCUUUCAAUCUUUCCAUCCUUCUUCUUGCAUACUAUCGUUUGUGUGUUUGCUGUAUCUGCGAUGCUGCUCGAUGACAAGAGAGUAAAAGGAUUUUAAGGAAAAACUUUAGCUGUAGUUAUGUCUCAGUCAUCUGUCUCUAUGGUUAUAAUGAAUCCUCACGCUGUAAAAAUCUACUAACUUAUCUGUAGAAACUCAAAUUUAGUUUCGAAACUUACCGCAGCCUUACAGCUGGGGAGUUCCUCGUUCCGCCCACGACGUUCCUCCACUCGGAGUUGAUCCCGAAUCUCCGGAACAGCCUCCACAGCAUCCGGUCACAUUCGUCCAGCAUCACGUCAGGUUGCCCGGCGCGUCGACCACGAAGCUCAGCUUCGGGCGGCCGUUGUCGUCCCAGAACCUUAUCGGCAAGAUCCCCCACCUUACGUUCAGAGAAGUGCAAGAAAUCGGCAAGUACACAUCUCGUGCUUGAUCCAAGGAAUCGCAGGAGUCGUAAUGAGCUCUUAGCGUAGGGAUUGAAUACUCCUCAGGGCCUAAAUACCUCGGAACGCCGGCGUUACUCGCAGCCCUCAAAAGUCUUGAGAAC
rnacentral:lncRNA from 1 species